rnacentral:misc_RNA from 1 species
AACGAUCCUAUGACAAGCCUUGGCUUUCAAGCAGCAAGAAAGUGAAAGCAAAAUCGGAAGAUUUUUCUGCCUCAAAACAAGGUAGGAAGCAACCCAAGCAGCCAUGGAACGUGGACACAAAGGUUGGAAAGACCAGCUUUGAUGAUUUAUUCGAUGAGCAUCCAGAGGAGACAAAAGUUGUUACCAAGAAAAAGGAAGGAACGACAGAUGCCAGACAGACCUGGGGAUCCAUGGGGCUAGGGGAAGAUGGAGAGGUGUUCACUAGUGGUGCAUACAGAGGCCCCAGGACUCACCUGUCCGAUGACGAUCCUCUAGCCGGGGAGCUGAUGAACAGCAAGUCUGACGACACUGAGGAGACAGAGGACACAAAUGUUGUCAGUUCUGGUCAUGUGAGAGGCAGGAGAGUGGAUGCCAAGAAACACAGGAAAGAGUUGGAGAAACUGAUCAAAGAGUCGGACCAGAAAGCUGGGGAUUCUGGGUACGACGACGGACUAGAGGAAGAGGACGAUGCUAUAGAGUUGCUGGAGGAUGCAAAUGAUCUGUUAAAUGAAGGUGUGACCAAAGUUCCCAAGUCUGGAUACAAACUCAGCAGACUUCUACAACAAAGACAAGAGGACGCAAAUAUCAAACUUAAUAUCAAGAGAUGUUAACUAUAAAUCCUCAAAGAUAGAUGAUCUGUUUGACUCAGACGAGGAAAGACCUGCAACUGGUAUGUCUGGGUUCCGAUCAUCCCCUGGGGACAGUGAUGAAGAAUUUGAAAGUGUGUCACAAGUCACAGGGCCGAGAAGACCAGUGUGGAAUGUUGGGGAAGAUUCUGAUGGUGAUAUUUUCUAUCCGCGAAACUCUAAAACAUCACCAGACCUCCCUUUAUCCAGGAAAAGUGUCUCAAUAUCCGAAAGAAGAAACUUGAACCAAACUGCCCCAGAGAGAUUUGAACCCUCCCCUCUUCAGUCCUUGGACAGUGUUCAUGGUAGAGGUGUACCGAGCAAAACGUGGAACCCGACCGCCCAAAGCAUGCAGUCUGUGGAGUCGGUACGGUCUACCAGUGGAGGGUGGCAAAUUCCACGCUACGACUCAGAAACAGAAUUCUCAGAAUUUGGAGAUCAAUCUGCUAGGAAUCGUCCACCAAGAGCAUACUAGAGGAGACAGGGACUCAUUUCAUACAGAGUUUUAUACAUGAAGAUCUAGUUUAUAGAUAGACUAUUUAUCAUCUCAUCUCCCUCGUUGUCUGUGAUCUUUUAUUUGCAAAACAUAUACUUGUACAUGGAUAUUUUUAUGUUAUUUUUUUUUUUAGAAAAAAAAACCUUUUUAUAUUAAUAAAUUAGAUUAUGC